AAAACAAAAAUUGAAGACGUGAAUUUCAUGGGAAAAAUUGUAGGAUGAGUUUUCUCGUUAUUGUGGGUCCUUGGAAACUAUUCACACAAUAAACAAGCACCACACAAUAUAAAAGGGAAUGAGAUUCCUUAAAGAAAAAAAACAGAAAGAGAUAUAUAGUGAUUUAAAACCAAACUUCCUAUAUAUUUUGACUCUCUUGAUAAGCCAGGACACAUGAUAGUAGUAGAAAACAGAUCUGAUAAGCCAUGACUAGACAUUAAGGGAAAAGAGACAUUAAGAUCCUGCAUGAAGUAACAAUCAAUAUCCUUUGUGAGUCUCCACGUUUUAUGUGUGAAAAACUUUGUCGAUGUACUGCUCAUGGCCAAAGAUGUAGUUAUUCUUGAAACUCCACUAAUCAAAGGUAUUCGAUAUUCAAACUUUAGUUGCCCGAUUACUACAGAUUCAUGUUGGAUAGGUCAUUAAGAGGGAUAAAGAAGACCUACAAGAGGUUCUUCAUCCUCAUUAUUCGAACUCGAGAUCUCUGGUUAAUAGUGAAAGGGAUUUUACAUUCCUCCGCACCUCUUUUCGCAUCCACAAUAAUUUGGAGAGAUGGAAUUUCAAUUUUAGCCAAUAUUACAGCCCCACUUCCAUAAACUAGCAAGUAAGGUGAUGCACCAAUCGAAGUACGUAUUGUUGUGCGAUAUCCCAAUAGUGCAAAAGACAACUUUUUAUGCCAUUGCAUGGUGCCUUGGACCAUCUUUCUGAGGAUCUUUUUGAUAUUCUUGUUGACAACCUCCACAACUCUAUUGGCCUUUGAUCGGUAUGGAGUAGAAUUGUGAUGCACAAUUUUAAAUUGCUCACAUGCAUCCUUCAUCAAGUUGCUAUUUAGAUUCGCAACACUAUCUUUGAUGAUAGUUCUUGGGAUACCAAAAUGACAAAUGAUGUUAUAAUAGACAAAAUCUACCAUCAUUUUCUUAGUGACUACCUCUACCUAUUUAGUGAAGUAAUCAAUUGCGACUAAAAUGAAUCAAUGUCCAUUUGAAACUUUUCGCUCAAUUUGUCCAAUGACAUUUAUUUCCCAAGCAUCAAAGGAUCAAGGAGAGGACAUAGGGUGUAACUCUAAAGGAGGUGAAUAAAUUAAGUCACCAUGAAUCUGGCACUAAUGACAUUUUAUCACCAAGAAAAAACAAUCCCUUUCCAUGGUAAGCCAGUAAUACCCCACUCGAAGUAUCAUUUUUGCAAGAACAUAUCCAUUCAUGUGUGGUCUACAUACCUUAGCAUAUACUUCAUUCAUUAUCUUCUGAGCUUAUUCAACAUCCACACAUCUCAGCAAAUUCAAAUCCAGGUUUCAUUUUUAUAAGAUUUCCUCACUCAAAACAAAACCACUAGCUAGACACCUAAUAGUUCUUUUCUGGCUUCUAUUAACACGUUCUGGAUAUUUACUUAUUUUUAAAAUUUCUUUGACAUCUAGGUACCAUGACUCACUAUCUAGCUCUACUUCAAUUGUGUUACAAUAAUUUUUUUGGUCCCGAAAUUGAAUUUCCAAAGGAUUGAUGCAAAUAUUGCCAGGGUAUGAAAUCAUUUAGGCCAAAGUGCCCAAGGCAUCUGCCAAUUCAUUAUGAAACCUAGGAAUAUAUCUAAACAAGAUGAAGUUAAACCUUUUACUGAGGUCUUCCACACACUGUUUGUAUGCAAGGAGCUUGAGCUCUUGAGUUUUCCAUUUUCCUUGAGCUCUGCGAAUAAGCAAAUAAGAAUCUCCCACUACAGCCAAUCCCUACACAUCCAAAUUAUUUCUAUAUUCAUACACAUGAUGCAAGCUUCAGACUUUGUUAUGUUAUUUGUGCUGAAGAAACACAGUCGUGUUGUUGCAGGAAAGUGUUGCCUUAUGGGCAAUAUGAGAACUACCCCAAUCCCUAUGCCUUUUAUAUUGAUUACUCCAUCAGAGGAUAAUUUUAAGGCCUAAUUUUCAUCAGGAUCUACUUCCUCUAUUAAAUUAACCUCUUUAUCUAGAAAAUAUGUAAUGAAUGCUUCAUAAUCGUGUAACACCCCGUGUUAUUCUUGUCUAGACAAAGUCCAAAAACCAUGGGGAAAAUUGAUCAAAUGGACUGACCAGUGGACCACAAGGGCCAUCUAUGAUUCAUAGACUAUUCUACGAGUCUUAAGAAUGAAUCGUGGGUCCCUCCAACACUUAGUAAAACUUUUGGAUUUGGAGAAGUGAUCAUACGAUUGACCUUAUAAUUCGUAAGAGUUUCUAUUAGUCGUAGGGGGGACUCAUAGAACCCUUUGACACUUAGCCAAUUUUAGAACACGAAGUCACUCUUAUGAGUGGAGUUGAUGAAUCGUCAAAUAGUCCAUGAGUCAUAGAAACAACUCAUACAAGAGAUUCAGAAACUCAGUAUUCUCAAAGUUUUAAUGAUCUAAAGUAUGAGUCAUGUAUACGACUCAUCGAGUUGUUUAUAACUUAUAGACAUUGAAUCAUACACCCCGUGCCUUUUCCAUCCCUAUUCUACCAUGGGAGAUGAUCAACAUGGACUUUAUAAUAGGUUUACCGUGAUCCCACAGACAACAUAAAUUUA